rnacentral:rRNA from 1 species
UACGUAGGGUGCGAGCGUUGUCCGGAUUUAUUGGGCGUAAAGGGCUCGUAGGCGGCGUGUCGCGUCGGGAGUGAAAGCCCGUUGCUUAACGGCGGGUUGGCUUUCGGUACGGGCAUGCUGGAGUGCGGCAGGGGAGACUGGAAUUCCUGGUGUAGCGGGGGAAUGCGCAGAUAUCAGGAGGAACACCGGUGGCGAAGGCGGGUCUCUGGGCCGUUACUGACGCUGAGGAGCGAAAGCGUGGGGAGCGAACAGG